GUGCUCGCUUCGGCAGCACAUAUACUAAAAUUGGAACGAUACAAAGAAGAUUAUCAUGGCCCACGCGCAAGGAUGACACGCAAAUUCCUGAAGCAUUCCACAUUUUU
rnacentral:snRNA from 1 species